rnacentral:tRNA from 1 species
CCGAGUGUAGCGCAGUUUGGUAGCGCAUCUGUUUUGGGAACAGAGGGUCGCAGGUUCUCCCUUCGGGAGACGCUAACGCGAACAAAUCCUGCCACUCGGA